GACGAACGCUGGCAGCGUGCUUAACACAUGCAAGUCGAGCGGUAAGGCCCUUUCGGGGGUACACGAGCGGCGAACGGGUGAGUAACACGUGGUGACCUGCCCUCAGCUCUGGGAUAAGCCCUGGGAAACCGGGUCUAAUACCGGAUAUGACUCCAUGACGCAUGUUGUGGGUGAAAGCCUUGUGCGGCUGAGGAUGGGCCCGNGGCCUAUCAGCUUGUUGGUGGGGUGAGGCCUACCAAGGCGACGACGGGUAGCCGGCCUGAGAGGCGACCGGCCACACUGGGACUGAGACACGGCCCAGACUCCUACGGGAGGCAGCAGUGGGAAUCUUGCGCAAUGGGCGAAAGCCUGACGCAGCGACG
rnacentral:rRNA from 1 species